GUGGGGUUCAUCCCACCCAGACCACAGAGACUGAAAAUAAGAAAGGGGUGAGGCCUAAGGGACAAUCAGGAUGUUUUUCAGAGAGAAGUGUGGAUGCUGGACAGGAAGAACCACAGAUACCAGAUACGGUAUCUAAGAAUGCUAUGGAAAAACACCACCUGUCCCCUACCUUCCAGCUUUGUACUUCAGAAAAACUGACCCUUUUUUAGGCCUCGGUAGGGGGCCUCCUGGCAUAGGCUGGGCUACUCAAUAUAGUCUCCCCCUAGGCCACAGUGAUAGGGUUAGUGACGACACAUGACCCACUAGAGACAAUGACAUGCUGCAUGGCUUAUUCCUUCUUCUACUGUGACUUGUGGAAAAGGAACCCUAACCAGUUCUUGAUGGACUGAACAACAUUUAGGAGAUGGUGUUCUUGUCACCUUGUGGAGCUUAAGCAAAAAGCCACACCAUGGAAAGCAGGACUGAGAAAUGAAUGAAAAAGCAUGUUGGUGCCAUUGGUUGCACCUGAAUCCAUCUGAGCCUGAAGCCAGUCUACUCCUAGUGACUGCAUGUUUUAUAGAAUUCUUUUAAAAGAAUCCUUACUGAUAUACAUAAUGGCCAAAGAAGAGGAAGAUCAGUCUCAAUUAGUGAGAAGUCCAAAGCAAAUGGACUCUGUGGAUGGUCCCAUCAAAAUGAAGUCAAAGGUUAAGGGCACAUUUAAGUUGUCUCAUGGUGUGUUUUUGGUGGGUGGAUAGACUAUAAAAUCCCACUUAGCACAGAGAAAACAAACUGAACCUCAGAGGACUUACGUGGUUUCUCUCAGUACCUACAGUGGGCUCAUGCAGGCCUGGGGCUCCAGCUCAGGUGUCUCAGCUUCUCAGGGCAUCAGCUGCCUCCUAUUCAGGUAGUGACAGAGCUACUAGGAUUGCUCAGUGAACAUCCAUAUACCAGCUCCUAGAUUCAACAGUUAAUAUUUUACAAUGUUUGCUCAUCACGUAUCUAUCCAUCUGGUCCACUGUCCACCCUUUAAUCCAUCUUAUUUCAUGUUUUAAUUGGAGGUCAUCUUACUUGAUGCACAGAUUUUUAUUCAUUUGGCAAAUAUGUAAGACCUCCCUCUAGGCACUUGGGAUGAAACAGUGAGCUAAAUACCAAAACGUUUCCUCUCAGGAGGCUGGACAUUUUGGGGGGAUUGAUGAUUGAUAGAAGAGUAACAAAACGUAUACAUAGGACAUUUUUAGGCGGCAAUAAAUGUUUUUAAGGAAACAGAAUAGGAUGAAAUGACUGAAUCUCUAAGACACAUUCCAGCUAGGAAAACAAAAAACAUUCUAGGUAUUUUAACAGAGGGAUUUAAUACAGGGAUUAUUUACCCAGGUGUAGAAAAGCUAAAAAAAAGCUUAAUAUUUCUUGAGAAAAGAACGCAGAGGUUAAGAGUUGCAAGAAACUGUUACCACUCCUAUGGUUGGAGGGACAGAGGGAAGAGGUGAUACUGCUAGUGCGCAAGUACGGGGACUGUUUGGUGGAAGUUAGAACCAUAGUCGUAGCUGUCCUGGAUGAUGUUGCUGGAGGAUAUGAGAAGACGGUAAGGGGAGCUCUCAAGGAGUUGGAACCACAUAGGAGACAAAGCCAUUAGCAGAAAAUGCUGCAAGAAGCAGGAAGAAAAACACAUACUCGAGUUCUUCCUUCUUCUUCUCCUCCAACCUUGCACCAGUGCCUCCAAAUUGGCUGAACCUGCUGAAAGCCGGUGGGAGAGAGCCUGGGAAAUGUAUUUCGGAGGCAUACACAACAGAGGAAGGUGUCUGGGGGCCCAGGACAAACCGGCAGUUGACAGCGUAGUGGCUUUUCAGAAACAAGUCUUGUCAGAAAUGUGACUUUUUCUGGGGAAAAUUGGACUAGAAGCGAGAACAAGAACUGUUUUCUGGGAAUUCCCUCUAUGGGAAAGUCAUGGUGGUAUCGACUGUAGAUUGGCAGAUGACAGAGGGCCUCUUUGAGGGGGUGCCAGAUGGCUGAGGAUGCCUGACCAGGGGCUGACAUCUCUGCACACAUCCUGGUGGAGAGGUUUCCAGGCUGAGCAAGGAGCCAGUAACAGCCAUGAAGACAGCACAGAGGAAGCUGUGUCAAAAAAUCAGAAACCGAUAUUUCAGACAAGCCUGGUUACAAAAUUAUGAGGAACCUUUGGCCCUUUCCUUCACCCUAAGCAGUGACAUCAACACCAUCACCCCGGAUGAAUAUCAGUUUACUUACCGAGGCUCCUUCAAGCUCUUGGCAGGCAAGACCAUGGACCCAAGAGGGUAUGUAACUGUGUAUUGUCAGCGACUCCACACGGCUACAUUUCGGUAUUUAAUGAGGCAUUGAUCUUGCUGGAGAUUUUUGAAAGUCUGGCCAGCUGGCCCAUUGGAAGGAGACCUGAGCUUGGUUCUCUGUGCCUGAGUCGUUGGCUGUCUAUGCUACAGGAACUGCCUCAGCUGUGGAAAUGCCAUGAAUCCUUUUCCCCGUUGGCCAUGCAGCAGGACAUACUUUAUUCAGCUGGGUGCUGAAAAAGAAUCUUGGAAAUUAGGAAACUGAAUGAGGCCUCAUUUCACACUCAGAAUGUGGGUUGCAAUAGUCACUUCCUCUGCUGCUGGGAAAGAAAGAAUUAUACUACCUUUUGAAUUUUGGAUUAAGGAGAGAGGUGUUGGCUUGUCAAACUACCAUGUAUUCCUCAAGACAUAUUUUUGUGGCUUUAUAAAAUUCAAUAUAUAUGUCUAAAUUCAAAAAUAUUUUGUUGCAAUCUGGCCCUUGGACAAACUGAGGCCCUAGCAACUGAUGUUUAUGGCUUUCCGUAGAACCUUUCAGAUAAAAUUUACACAGCAUUUUACUGCAGCUAUUUCACACAAAGCAGAGGAUUUUGCCACAAAACUGAAAGAAAAAAGAAACUGCAUUCUUAAAUUUUUCAUAAAUCAAAAGGUAUAAAAAUAUCUACCUAAACGAUAAAGGAGAUGAGAAACCCCACCCAUGAUGGGAAGAAAGCCUAUUUCAGUUUUGCCUUUACUUCAAGUUCUUUUUUCCAUAUCUGGAAUGCAAUCAGAAUUUUAAUCUUGCCUUGGGUUCCUCCUGGAUUUGGGGAGAAGACAAAACCUGAAAAUCUCUAAUCUGCAUGUGUUCAGCUGCGUAUCUUCUGGAUACGGAAGGAUCACACUGCACAGAGUGCUGGACUUGCAGGAGCCCCGCUUCUCAACCUCCAUCGCUUUAUGAAUGAAUUCACCAGAAAGAAAAGGAAGAAUCAACACUUUCAGAGAUGGAGCCUGUUGAGCCACAGUACCAACUAGUCAAUGCUGAAUCGACUUCUCCCUUUCUACAUUGCCUGAGAGAAGUCAUUGGGGAAUACUCUGUACACGAAUUUUCACUGUUGGGGAAAACAGAGAGUCAAGGGAUUGGAUUGUGGAUUGCAUUGGUGGUUUUCCUCAGUUUCCUCAUCUUCUCCACAAGUUUCUACAUAUCGAAUGCAGAGCAGCCCUUCUUCAAAGGACCUCCUACGGAAGCUGCUAAGGAACUCAGUCUGUAGCUCUGCGUGGAGCCAUGUGUAAACACUGAACUGAGACCUGCCACCUCCUACUACCUAAGGGCCCAUUUUCAUCUGAUAUCAUCCCCCAGAAACAAACUCAUGAUGACUUCCAUGUUUUUUUUAGAUUAGAUACAUGGAGAAUUUUCCUUUCCCUUAGAAUUAAAAUCCUGCAUUCUAAUUUUCAGGUAAAACUUUUUCGUCUCUACAGAACUCUCUCCAAGUGCACACCCAUAGAUUGGUUUGCUUGUGGAAUCCUAGCAUAUCAGAAAUGAAGGAAUCUCAGAAAUUGUUUUCAUCAAACACCUCAUAUGCAGAAGGCAAAAUGAAGGUUCAGAGCAGAAAUGAUUUGUCCAAGGAUGCAACACUCAUCUGCAGCAGAGGGAAGCUGAGCUCUGCAGACCCACCUAGCACUGCAGAGGCAGCCCUCUAGGACAAGGCUUCAUAAAAAAGUGACUUUAUGAGUUGGCUCCAUAAAAAAGAUACAGAUUAAGAAAUUGUUUAAACAGUGAUCUCUAUAUAAUUACUCUUUUAUUUAAAAGUAUGGGCUGGGAGCGGUGGCUGACGCCUGUAAUCCCAGCACUUUGGGAGGCCGAUGUGAGCAGAUAACCUGAGGUCGGGAGUUAGAGACCAGCCUGACCAACAUGGAGAAACUCCGUCUCUACUAAAAAUACAAAAUUAGCAGGGUGUGGUGGUGCAUGCCUGUAAUCCCAGCUACUCGGGAGGCUGAGGCAGGAGAACUGCUUGAACCCAGG
rnacentral:lncRNA from 1 species